rnacentral:lncRNA from 1 species
GCUCCACCAACCUGCAGCGGGUGUGUAACACAGCACACCGGCUAAGCCCUGGUAGCCCGGAACUCUUCUCUUGGAAAAAGUGCACUCGGCCAAAGUGGUCUCAAACCCCUGACAGCGCACUUGCAAGCAUUCUGUGGAGUUUAUCUGGAGAUCUUCAGAAUAAUGAAACCUUCCCCGAGUAUCAAGAGCACCUCUGGAAGCAGCAAAACGAAACGUGAUGUGCUUAUGUGGCAACGGCCAUGCUACCCGUCAUGUGGAAGGCCACUCAAUCCUCACACCCACCUUGUAAAGAUGAAGCCCGCCUUGUCUCCAUUUUUUCACAGGAGGAACCUAAAUCUAGGAGACGUUAAAUUCCCGGCCCAAGUGGUGAAGCCAGGAAUUGGAAGCUGCUCUGUUAUCUCACUGCAGAGUCUUAGAAAAAACAUAGCGAAAUGUUUCAACAGGCUCAGAAAAGUUCCUGGGGAGUUCCAUCUCCUCUCAAGCUACCCAGCCCACUCGGAAGCAACCACUUACCGGUUCCUGGUGCAGUUUUUAGGUCCAGCACUGUACAGGUGCUCAGUAUAUUUUCAGAUUUGCCCGGAAGCGGAAUUGCUGAAUCUAGGGAAUGAGCGUUGUAAUGCUGGAGGACAGAGCCUAGUUUUUCGCCGCAGAGGGCGCUCCAACUUGCACCCUCGUCCUCCAUAGACAGUGCGCCUGCGCAGUUCUCACACAGGGACCGCAGCCACCGUUCGACCCGUUAAGCUUCUUUUAUUGCUGUCAAUUUGAUAUUAAAACUCCCAUUGGCGUACACUUUCAUUUGCAUUUCCCCUUAUGAAUGUUGUUGAAAAUCUUUUAAUACGGCAUAAAUUUUAAGAGAAAUUUUUAUUUCUCCACGUACUAGCCAUAAUCUUUUUGGUGUAAUUAGAUCCCUUUUCUUUCACCUUUCUUUCUUUCUUUCUUUCUUUCUUUCUUUCUUUCUUUCUUUCUUUCUUUCUUUCUUUCUUUCUGUACUGGGCAUUGAAUCCAAGCACUUCACACUAAGCAAUAUCCGCAGCCCUUUAUUAAUUUUAUUUUAAGUUUUGAAACAGGGCUUCACUGAGACACAAAGUAGCCCAGUCUGGGCUGGAACUUGAGUCUUUCCUGCUUCAGCCUCCCAGAGCGAGGACUAUAGGUGAGCACUACCCUGUCUAGCUUUUUUUUUUAUUUUUAUUUUUUGGAAGAAGAUUUCAUACAAAUAUAUCAAGGAAAUCAGCAUUUUGUUUGGAAUAUGAGCUAUAAAAAACGUGUUGACAAAUGCCAAGCCUAGUCCGUAGAGCACAGAUACUUUUUAAACGCUUCCUCACGCAACGAAACUAUUUUCAAUAAAAAUCCUGAAACCAAAGGAAUAAGUAGAUGCAGGAAAUGAAAUAGUAAACGUUUUCUUUUAUUGAAAUUCAUAUGUGUAAUCAUACUGUAAACAUUUAAAAAGUAAAAUACAUAUUACAGUGCAAACAAGAAAAAAGAUUAAUAUUUUAAAUUACACUAACAAUGAAAAAGGGAAGUCAUACCUGUGUAUAGGUCUGUUACGGUGACGAAUCAUGAUAUUACAGCUUAACAAUAAUUAAAGACAUUAGAAGAAAAGCACAGCAACGUUUUUAUUUAAAGGCAUUAUUCCAAUUUGGGAAAAUAUUUGCCUUGUGAAUUAUAAUUUAGCUCUGCCAAAAUAAGGAUCGUACAUCUCGGUCUGCAGUUUUACCACUUUUACACUUUAAAAACAAACCCCCAGUGGUCAUUGGAAAGACAAAAUUGAGUAACUCAGCUUUCAUUUCUUCAUCUUUACAAUCGUUAGAGCAACAUUUAAACUUCUGCAUCUGCUACUCAAGCUCAGGAAAAUGGAAUAACUCGAGUUUGAAGACAGAGCCCACAGCCAGCUCGGAAAGCUCCAGUGCAUAAUGGGCCUGACAUCCCACUCCUACGGAGGCUGAACUUAGCGUGUGCUGCGUCCACGCCCACUCACAACACGAGGUCGGUGCGGGAUGCGUCAUUUGAGGAAGUGCUCGUGCUGCUUACGUUCCCACCCGCAGCAGCCGUUAACCGUUCUGUCCACUACACCAGCUGCUGACAGAGGGCUGCUUAAAUUUUAAAUUAAUUAAAAUUAAAUUAAAAGGAAAUUCUGUUUCCAGCCAAGUCAGAGAAAUAGGGACCAGAUGUACCCUCCAGCCUAAAACAAUCAACAAACAAACAAAAUAGGAGGCCUUGGUUUUCAAGACACAGGACCUCAGGCAAGGAGGGCAGCGGUCACCCAGGGCGGGAACUGCGGGCGCUGCUUUACUGCCCUGAGCGUUUACUGGUUGUGGCGCAGGGAGGAGGGGCGUGGGCUGAGCACAGGGAACUCCCAGAGCGGGGUUCAGGGCCAGGAGUCUGCUGGGACUCUUUUCAAAGCCCCUCCAGCCGGGCGUGGGGGUGCACAUCUGCAGUCCUAGCACUCUGGGAGGCUCAGGCAGGAGGAUCGCAAGUUCGAGCCCAAACUGGGCAACUUGGUGAUUUAGUGAGACCUCGUCUCAAAAUAAAAAAUAGAAAGGAGCUCCAGAGGUAGCUCAGUAGGAAUGCCCUGGGUUCAAUCCCCAGUCCCGUGGGGGGCUCCUGAGAGUACUCAGUGAAGUGUUCAUUAGCACUGGUGGAGGAAAUUACUAGAGACGGGGGUGGGGGAGCCCUGGGAGAGUUUAGGGUUACACUGCACAUCCUCAAUCGGGGCUGAGAAGUGUGCUGGUUCUCACUGUUCAAUCUAGAGAACUCGGCACUCAUGGGAGAGAGGAGCGCACACAAGAAUCUGGCCUCAGUAGCAGGGAAUAAUUAGCUCCAGGCUAAGCCCUGUUCCUAUCUUACCUGAGAAAGCUGGAGGGCAGGACCUGAAAGGGUCCAGUGUUUCCAAGCAACUGAACUGCAUCCCAGAACAAAGCUUUGUGUGUUUGCAGGAACAACAACAAAAACACACGGCAUUUGAUAAAGGUAAAAUUCAUAAUACCUGGCAUAAAAUUUUUUAAAAUUCUAAAAAUGUAAGGGAGCUGGAAAAAUGACUCAUAAUAGGGAGAAAAAUCAAUUGAAACAUACCCAGGAUUCCAGCACAGAUUUUAGAACAACCAGGCAGAGACAGUAAAAGUUAUUAUCCCAUAUGUUGAAAGUUAGACACUGGCUUUAUGAAAAAGACCCAAAUUGAACUUUGGGGAUGAAAACUACAAUAUCUGAGGUUACAGUAAUACACUGUGUGCAGCUAACAGCAGAUUGGACUUUGCAGAAGAAAAGAUUGGCAAAUCAACAUAUCAAUAGAAAGUACUCAGAAUAAAAUAGAAAUACUCUGGUCUUGGCAGUGAUUUCUUAAACAUAACAAAAGCAUAGGCAACAAAAGACAAAAUAGACAAGUGGAACUACAUCAAACUAAAACUCUUCUUCACAGCAAAGGAUACAAUCAACAAAGUGAAAGGGAAACAUACAGAAUGGGAGAAACUAUUUGCAAACCACACUUCUAAUAAAGGGUUAAUACCCAAAAUAUAUGGGGAAUUUGAACAAUUCAACCAGAAAAAUGGCUGAUUGAAAAUAUGGGUAAAGGAGUUGAAUAGACAUUUCUCCAAAGGAGACAUAAAAUGGCUAACAGAUACAGUGUGUGAAAAAGUACUCGCCAUUAUCAUCAUCAGGGUGAUGAAAAUCAAAGCCCCACACCAGUUAGGAUGGCUAUUGUCAAAGUAACAAAUCGUCACAAAUGAUGAGACGUACAGAUGAGGACCCUUGUCUACUGUGGAAUGGUACAUUGUGCAGCUACCAUGAGAAGCAGAAUGGAGGCGCCUUUAAACUUGAAAAUAGAACCACUGUAUGACCUACAGCCCCACUUCUGGGCAUAUUUCCAAAGGAAAGGAAACAAGAAUCCUGAAAAUAUAUUCCAUGUUGACUGGAAUUUUAUUCUCCACAGCCAAGACAUGGAAACAACUUAAGUACCCAAUAAUAAUUAAUCAAAUGUGAUACAUACACACAGUGAAAUAUUAUUUGGCCUUAAAAAUAAAUACCGCCAUUUGCAGCAACGUAGAUGAGUCUGAAGGACAUUUAUCUAAGUGAAUUAAGCCAGACACAGAAAGGCAAAUUUUACACGAUACUACUCCUAUUUGAUAUCUAAAAUUGGCAAACUCAUAGGAACAGAAUUGUGGCCACCAAGAAAUAGCAGAGGAAACAGGGAGGUCAGAGGGUGCGACAUCUCAGUUCAGAGCGGUUCCUGGAGCUCUGCUGCACAGCACAGCGCCUUAACAUACACCUGUGCACUUAAAGAUUUGCCAAGAGGGAGGCCUUUUACUGUGUUUUUUUCACAUGCACAUAGACAUAUAUGCACACAGCGAGAGGUAACUUGAGAUAAUGGGAUAUUGUGGCCUAGAUGGUCGCAGUAUUUUCACAGCUGUACAUUUAUCUCCAAACUCAUCAGGUUGUAUGCAUUAAACAUGUACAACGUGUUGUAUGGCAAUCAUAACUCAAUAAAGU